CCAGACUCCUACGGGAGGCAGCAGUGAGGAAUAUUGGUCAAUGGCCGAGAGGCUGAACCAGCCAAGUCGCGUGAGGGAUGACGGCCCUACGGGUUGUAAACCUCUUUUGUCGGGGAGCAACGAGGCCACGUGUGGCGUUCCGAGAGUACCCGAAGAAAAAGCAUCGGCUAACUCCGUGCCAGCAGCCGCGGUAAUACGGAGGAUGCGAGCGUUAUCCGGAUUUAUUGGGUUUAAAGGGUGCGCAGGCGGCGAGUUAAGUCCGCGGUAAAUUUUCGGGGCUCAACCCCGACAAGCCGUUGAAACUGGCUUGCUAGAGUGGGCGAGAAGUAUGCGGAAUGCGUGGUGUAGCGGUGAAAUGCAUAGAUAUCACGCAGAACUCCGAUUGCGAAGGCAGCAUACCGGCGCCCAACUGACGCUCAGGCACGAAAGCGCGGGUAUCGAACAGGAUUAGAUACCCCCGUA
rnacentral:rRNA from 1 species